rnacentral:rRNA from 1 species
CCGGAGAUAGCUGGUUCUCCUCGAAAUAGCUUUAGGGCUAGCCUCGUAUUAGUCUAGCGGAGGUAGAGCACUGAAUAUCCUAGGGGGCGUCAAAGCUUACCGAAGAUUAUCAAACUCCGAAUGCCGCAGAGAUGAUGUACGGGAGUCAGACUGCACGAGAUAAGUUGGGUAGUCAAAAGGGAAAGAGCCCAGACCGCCAGCUAAGGUCCCAAAGUGCGUGUUAAGUGGAAAAGGAUGUGGGAUUUCGAAGACAACUAGGAUGUUGGCUCAGAAGCAGCCAUACAUUCAAAGAGUGCGUAAUAGCUCACUAGUCGAGAGGUCCUGCGCCGAAAAUGUCCGGGGCUAAAACACACCACCGAAGCUAUGGAAUGUGAAAACAUUGGUAGAGGAGCAUUCUUAACGUGACGAAGCUGUACCGGAAGGAGCAGUGGAGUGUUAAGAAGAGAGAAUGCCGGAAUGAGUAGCGAGAUUUAAGUGAGAAUCUUAAAGGCCGAAUAUCUAAGGUUUCCAGGGUAAAGCUGAUCUUCCCUGGGUAAGUCGGGGCCUAAGGCGAGGACGAAAGUCGUAGUCGAUGGAUAACAGGUAGAAAUUCCUGUACCACAUACAAACAGAACUGUGGGGACGCAGAGAGAAAGCCAGAGCCGGAAAUGGAAAAGCCGGUGCAAGCGAGGUAUCCGUAAGGGAGGCAAAUCCCCCUUGCAAGGAGAAGACGUAAUGCGGAGUGAACUAUAAGUAACGAAGCUGGUGAGCUAGCUGCCAAGAAAAGCCGCUAUUGUUUUGUAUGUGCCCGUACCGUAAACCGACACAGGUGGAUGAGGAGAGAAUCCUAAGGCCGGCGGGAGAAGUGUUGUUAAGGAACUCGGCAAAAUGACUCCGUAACUUCGGGAGAAGGAGUGCCACAGAGAUGUGGCCGCAGAGAAAUGGCCCAAGCAACUGUUUAGCAAAAACACAGGUCUAUGCAAAACCGAAAGGUGAGGUAUAUGGGCUGACGCCUGCCCGGUGCUGGAAGGUUAAGAGGAGAGGUUAGCGCAAGCGAAGCUUUGAAUUUAAGCCCCAGUAAACGGCGGCCGUAACUAUAACGGUCCUAAGGUAGCGAAAUUCCUUGUCGGGUAAGUUCCGACCCGCACGAAAGGCG